rnacentral:rRNA from 1 species
GAUGAACGCUGGCGGCGUGCCUAAUACAUGCAAGUCGAGCGAACGGACGAGAAGCUUGCUUCUCUGAUGUUAGCGGCGGACGGGUGAGUAACACGUGGAUAACCUACCUAUAAGACUGGGAUAACUUCGGGAAACCGGAGCUAAUACCGGAUAAUAUUUUGAACCGCAUGGUUCAAAAGUGAAAGACGGUCUUGCUGUCACUUAUAGAUGGAUCCGCGCUGCAUUAGCUAGUUGGUAAGGUAACGGCUUACCAAGGCAACGAUGCAUAGCCGACCUGAGAGGGUGAUCGGCCACACUGGAACUGAGACACGGUCCAGACUCCUACGGGAGGCAGCAGUAGGGAAUCUUCCGCAAUGGGCGAAAGCCUGACGGAGCAACGCCGCGUGAGUGAUGAAGGCCUUCGGAUCGUAAAACUCUGUUAUUAGGGAAGAACAUAUGUGUAAGUAACUAUGCACAUCUUGACGGUACCUAAUCAGAAAGCCACGGCUAACUACGUG